GGCCGCGGGAAUUCGAUUCAGGCCUAACACAUGCAAGUCGAGCGGUAGAGAGAAGCUUGCUUCUCUUGAGAGCGGCGGACGGGUGAGUAAUGCCUAGGAAUCUGCCUGGUAGUGGGGGAUAACGUUCGGAAACGGACGCUAAUACCGCAUACGUCCUACGGGAGAAAGCAGGGGACCUUCGGGCCUUGCGCUAUCAGAUGAGCCUAGGUCGGAUUAGCUAGUUGGUGAGGUAAUGGCUCACCAAGGCUACGAUCCAUAACUGGUCUGAGAGGAUGAUCAGUCACACUGGAACUGAGACACGGUCCAGACUCCUACGGGAGGCAGCAGUGGGGAAUAUUGGACAAUGGGCGAAAGCCUGAUCCAAAGAUGCCGCGUGUGUGAAGAAGGUCUUCGGAUGUAAAUCAAAUGUAAGUUGGGAGGAAGGGCAUUAACCUAAUACGUUAGUGUUUGACGUACCGACAGAAUA
rnacentral:rRNA from 1 species